rnacentral:rRNA from 1 species
AUUGAACGCUGGCGGCAGGCCUAACACAUGCAAGUCGAGCGGGGUUUUCGGGCCUAGCGGCGGACGGGUGAGUAAUGCGUAGGAAGCUACCCGAUAGAGGGGGAUACCAGUUGGAAACGACUGUUAAUACCGCAUAAUGUCUACGGACCAAAGUGUGGGACCUUCGGGCCACAUGCUAUCGGAUGCGCCUACGUGGGAUUAGCUAGUUGGUGAGGUAAUGGCUCACCAAGGCGACGAUCCGUAGCUGGUUUGAGAGGAUGAUCAGCCACACUGGAACUGAGACACGGUCCAGACUCCUACGGGAGGCAGCAGUGGGGAAUAUUGGACAAUGGGCGCAAGCCUGAUCCAGCCAUGCCGCGUGUGUGAAGAAGGCCUUCGGGUUGUAAAGCACUUUCAGCGAGGAGGAAGGGGUGAGUGUUAAUAGUACUCAUCUUUGACGUUACUCGCAGAAGAAGCACCGGCUAACUCUGUGCCAGCCGCCGCCGUAACAC